AUGAGAUCCAAUGGCUCAGAUAUAUUUGCUUCUAACAAAGUCCAACAUCAUAUAACAAAAUUUCACACGCACAAGCAAGAGAUUUGCCCUCUCUCUCAACUUUCACCAUCUUUCCACCCUUCUCCUCCUCCGAACCUCCAUCUCCAAUCCAUUAUCACACACCUUCAACCAACACCUCCUUCAUUCUCCAAAAAACUCACCAUUGAAUCAUGA